rnacentral:lncRNA from 1 species
ACCACCUCAUUCUAAACGACGUCCUCAAAUCGGUUAUCUAUAUAACCGCGUUAAACAAGUUUUUAUUCAGUGGUUUAGCUACGUGGAGUAUGAUGGGAUAUAUUAAUUUUUUAAUUUUAUUUUUACCGUAUUUAUUAAGUCGGUUGUCAAUGUAACCGUGUUAAGAGUGUUUCACAUAUUUACAAAAUUGCUACCGCCUCAUUUUGUUAACU